UCUUCAGCAGGGGAGAUGUUCUUAUAAAAAGCAGAAAGUGGAACCUGCCCUAGGAGGGGACAUAAAGGGGAGGAGCGAUGACACAUCAUCCAGAAAUACCAGCUGUUGUCAUCGGAAACCAGUCAGCCAGAGCUGAAGAAAAGGCAUGAGUUGGCCUCUCCUCACUAUCCUAUGGCCCUCCUGACCCUCGCUCCUACCUCCUUGUGGGCAGCCGAGUUGGACUCCCAGAAGCGCUGCACUUUGCUGAAGGUGACGUUUGUGCAGUCGGAAAGGCCACUCAGGAAAGUGCCCGAGGACUUCUCGGUGACAGCCAGCUCUGCUUCUUCUUCCAUGGGCGUCUCGGGGACUUCGCUUUUGCCCAAGCGCAAGGACCCUGACUGCAGCUCAUUAUGUAACUUCACAGCAUCGACUGUCAGGUCACUCCUUCCUGAGAGCCAGAGGCACAAGAUAAGGCCCAAAUCUCCUUUUGGUCAAGAGAACAGAACCCCUGGGAAACAAACCAGCUCAGGCCAAAUCGCCAACCCGAGAGGCUGAAUUCUGAAUACAGCCAGUCUCAUAAACCCACUGUAUGCCUAAAAACUUGAAAAACCAAGGAGAAAGGGAAUCCUCCAUGUAAGAGUUUCUGCUUGCCUGUAGCAGUGGCAUAAACGCCACUGGGAAUCGGCUGGGAGCUACAUUGAGAGGGCCUGGAAAAUAAAUGAAGGUGAAAGCGCUCUGUAGAGUUAUCCAAGGUCCAAGCCAUCAGUCUCAACUCUGACACCCGCGGUACCUUACACAAGACAUUUCCCUACUGCGGACCUCAGUUUUCGUAUCUGCUAAAUUGGAAGGGCUGCCCUUCAGAGAGGGCUCCAGAUCCGACAUCCUAAGAGAUGAAAGGUCCAAUGCCUGGCCCCGGACUCUCCCAGAGGCACCAGACUCAUCUGGACCCAGGUCUGCCCGGAAACCCGCCGCCGGCUGAGCGUGGGUCCCAACCCAGCUACCUGACGGCCGGCUGAAGAAGCGGCUGCGGGCGGCCUGGCGGUGGCGGCAGAUGGCGGGAUUGCUGUCGCUGCUGUGGCCUUUCUUCCAGCGCUUCAACUUAGCUGAGACACCAGAGGGCAACUUUCCCGAGCGACCCAUGUUGACUAAGCCGUGGCCGGCACUGAGCUUAAACGACCGGCUUCCAGGCUGGUCAACAUUGAGCCUGCUCUGGAUGACAGCUCUGGGAGACUGGAUAUUUUCCUUCACUGCAGUCAGAAAUAUAACAGCUCCUGCAUGUAAACUCAGCACUUCGGGAGGCCGAGGCGGGAGGAUCACCUGAGCCGGGAAGUUUGAGGCUGCAGUGAGCUAUAAUCAUGCCACUGCACUCCAGCCUGGGUGACAGAGAAAGACUCUGUCUCAAAAAAAGAAAAAAAGGAAUAUAACAACCACCAGUUCCCCUGUUCCACCUCUGACAAAAUCCUUAAUAUUGGAUACUUGGCCACCUUGCCAUCAGCUGACAGAACCUGAGUCUUGAGGCAUCAUCUGGGCUCACGCCCUCUAUGAGGCAUAAAUCCUCUCCUCUUCAGACACCAGCUGAGCUGGGAGAUGUGAACAACAGGCGAUGAGUUUGCAAGAUGGUUCAACUAUGGACAUGUGGUGUCCUCACAGGAGUCCUGUGGGCUGAACGGCAGCUGCCCCUCCUUCCACCCAGCACAAAACUUGGUUUGUCUCGCUCACUCUAAAUCUGGGCCUUCAAUGAAUGUUCAGUCCUUGAUGAGGGAGUUCUGUGGAAAAAAAAAAAAAAACCGGAAAGGAAGGCUGGAGAGGACUUUAUUAGCCUAAGGGGCAAUGGAAGGUAAAAGGGCUGUGACUCCUGGUUAGCUUUUUUUUUUAUUGUUUUUUGUUUUGUUUUGAUUUUUUUUCU